GAUUUUGAUGCAGUCAUGAACAAGUAAAUUUGAACUUUUCUAUUAUUUUAUGAUUUCGAGUAAAUGAUUUCUGUCACUAUUCUUUCCUUAUAUUUUGGGAUCUCAUUACUACACUGAUUUAACCAUACCUUUAGUGGAAAAACCCUUAUCUCUUUCCUCAGUGGUUUAAGUAACUUAAAAUGGCUUCUUACUCUCAGCAAUGGUGUUUAUAUUUGUGUAUUUAAUUCCAGGGGGUUCUUCCAUGGAUACUCCUUGAUUACAGUUCUCAUGAUUCUCAAU
rnacentral:misc_RNA from 1 species